rnacentral:rRNA from 1 species
GAGUUUGAUCCUGGCUCAGGACGAACGCUGGCGGCGUGCUUAACACAUGCAAGUCGAACGGAAAGGCCCCGCUCGCGGGGUACUCGAGUGGCGAACGGGUGAGUAACACGUGGGUGAUCUGCCCUGCACUUCGGGAUAAGCCUGGGAAACUGGGUCUAAUACCGGAUAUGACCUCCCUUUAGUGUGGGGGGUGGAAAGAUUUAUCGGUGCAGGAUGAGCCCGCGGCCUAUCAGCUUGUUGGUGGGGUAAUGGCCUACCAAGGCGUCGACGGGUAGCCGGCCUGAGAGGGUGGACGGCCACAUUGGGACUGAGAUACGGCCCAGACUCCUACGGGAGGCAGCAGUGGGGAAUAUUGCACAAUGGGCGGAAGCCUGAUGCAGCGACGCCGCGUGGGGGAUGACGGCCUUCGGGUUGUAAACCUCUUUCGACAGGGACGAAGUGAAAAUGACGGUACCUGUAUAAGAAGCACCGGCUAACUACGUGCCAGCAGCCGCGGUAAUACGUAGGGUGCGAGCGUUGUCCGGAAUUACUGGGCGUAAAGAGCUCGUAGGUGGUUUGUCACGUCGUCUGUGAAAUUCCGGGGCUUAACCUCGGGCGUGCAGGCGAUACGGGCAAUACUUGAGUGCUGUAGGGGAGACUGGAAUUCCUGGUGUAGCGGUGAAAUGCGCAGAUAUCAGGAGGAACACCAAUGGCGAAGGCAGGUCUCUGGGCAGUUACUGACGCUGAGGAGCGAAAGCAUGGGUAGCGAACAGGAUUAGAUACCUGGUAGUCCAUGCCGUAAACGGUGGGCGCUAGGUGUAGGGGACUUCCACGUUCUCUGUGCCGUAGCUAACGCAUUAAGCGCCCCGCCUGGGGAGUACGGCCGCAAGGCUAAAACUCAAAGGAAUUGACGGGGGCCCGCACAAGCGGCGGAGCAUGUGGAUUAAUUCGAUGCAACGCGAAGAACCUUACCUGGGCUUGACAUACACCGGACCGGCGUAGAGAUACGUCUUCCCUUGUGGCCGGUGUACAGGUGGUGCAUGGUUGUCGUCAGCUCGUGUCGUGAGAUGUUGGGUUAAGUCCCGCAACGAGCGCAACCCUUGUCUUAUGUUGCCAGCACGUGAUGGUGGGGACUCAUGAGAGACUGCCGGGGUCAACUCGGAGGAAGGUGGGGAUGACGUCAAAUCAUCAUGCCCCUUAUGUCCAGGGCUUCACACAUGCUACAAUGGUCGGUACAGCAGGUCGCGAACUCGUGAGAGUAAGCCAAUCCUUCAAAGCCGGCCUCAGUUCGGAUUGGGGUCUGCAACUCGACCCCAUGAAGUCGGAGUCGCUAGUAAUCGCAGAUCAGCAACGCUGCGGUGAAUACGUUCNCCGGGCCCUUGUACACACCGCCCGUC